rnacentral:snRNA from 1 species
GGGAGUUUGGCUGGGGCG